rnacentral:lncRNA from 1 species
UGCAGUGAGUCAGAACUAUGGAAGGCAGAUUUUGAAAGAUGAGUUAGAAAGCAGGGGAUAGUUCAUCUUCCUAGUAAGCAUUUUAAAACUUCUUAACUGUAUAAUUAAACUAAUGCGAAUGUGAUUGGAUCUUUUCAGCAGCCUAAUUCUCUCUUUCAGGUCAGUAUUUUGUAGCAUGUCUCUGUCCCUUCUCUUAAAAAAGUUCUAAAGGCAUUGGUGUGUGCUGUGGAUUUU